rnacentral:lncRNA from 1 species
CUCCGUAGAAAGGGACUUUGUGCACGACCUGCUCUCCUUCUGUUAGGGAAAAAUCUAGGUGUGAGGCUGCUCAGUCCCCCAGCUGGUCGGGCAGAGCCCGCGGGUCCCUGCGGAAUAAAAGAAGGAGUCCAGCCAACCGGAGCAAAUAGCUGUAGACCAAAGUUUAUUGCGCAAUAGGUUCAAAGAGCAAAUUUGAACCCUGAGGAUGGGGUGACAAGGACUUUUAAAACUUUCCCACCAUAUCCCAGAAUACAGUUCGUACAGCAUCAUUGCUACAUCACUGACAUGUCACAAAAGGGGAGGGCUUAACCUUGGCAAACAGGUCCAGACAAAGCCUUGGUACCAGAUUAGCAUAAGCAGACAUGGCAGGGCAAGAGUCAGGUAUAAGAUUAGCAUAGACAAAUAUGUCUUAAGUACCCACCACCCAAAAGUACAACAGAAGUUCCUUUGCAUGUCUGGAGCCUGAGGCGAGUCAGGUGAUGAGAUUUGGCUUCCUUUGGCUAACAAUUGUCCCAGCAAUUGUCACCUCUGGGAACUUCCUGGAGUCCCUUUUCAAGGGGAAAAUAGCUUUGGAAUGGAGGAAACUGGGAAAGGAGAUGAUUUUAUAUUAUUUUUAAAGCUAGGUGACUUCCC